GACGAACGCUGGCGGCGUGCUUAACACAUGCAAGUCGAGCGGUAAGGCCCUUUCGGGGUACGACGAGCGGCGAACGGGUGAGUAACACGUGGGUGACCUGCCCUCAGCUCUGGGAUAAGCCCGGGAAACUGGGUCUAAUACCGGAUAUGACUCCAUGACGCAUGUUGUGGGGUGGAAAGCCUUGUGCGGCUGAGGAUGGGCCCGCGGCCUAUCAGCUUGUUGGUGGGGUGAUGGCCUACCAAGGCGACGACGGGUAGCCGGCCUGAGAGGGCGACCGGCCACACUGGGGACUGAGACACGGCCCAGACUCCUACGGGAGGCAGCAGUGGGGAAUCUUGCGCAAUGGGCGAAAGCCUGACGCAGCGACGCCGCGUGAGGGAUGAC
rnacentral:rRNA from 1 species